UCCGCCUCCGUCGCGUGGCAAAGAAGAAGAGAGGGCGAACCGCCGGAGAUGGCCGCCGCCGUAGAGCCUCCUGUGAACAAGAAGUAAGACGGCGCAGAGAGCAGAGACUGUCUGGUUGUAACCGAGGCACGCCGCACGCGUCUUUCUUGUCUUGUCAAGUGAGGACGGUGGCGGUUGGGUGGAGGGGGUACGGCUGUAAGGUGCUCACGCGUCGCCGGCGGUCGAUGACGUUUCUGUUCCCGGUCAAGAACCAGCAGUGCGUGAUGGAAGUCAGGCCACCGGCGCUGGCGAGGGUGUCGAUGUUCCGGAGGCUGCUGGUGCGGGUGACCCCGGCCGAGCAGCUGGCCGGGGACGGCAAGGAGAGGGAGAAGGAUGAAAAGGCGUCGGGCGCUGGCGCCGGCGGGGAGGCAGAGGUGGGGACGGUGGGGCUGGACCGGAUGGUGCUCAGCUUCAUGGAGGACGCCGCUCCCGUGGAGCGGCCCCCGCGCGGGCGCUGCAACUGCUUCAACGGCAGCAGCGGCCACCAGGACGGCAGCGACGACGAGGAGUUCGACUUCCUCCCCUCCGCCUCCGCCCUCACCGCAGCGCCUGCCGCGGCCGGCGACGCCUUGGAGCUGCUAAAGGGUCUGGUACAGUGCGUGAGCGUGGCGGAGCAGAACCUCCUCGCCGACGCGUCGCGGAUCACCGAGCAGUGCGGCAAGGGCGGCUUCGGCCGGAAGAAGGCGGACAUCCGGCGGGCCGUGGCUGACGGCCUCCGGGCGCUCGGGUACGACGCCGCGGUGUGCCGGUCGCAGUGGGACAAGGCUUCCUCCCACCCAGCCGGCGAGCACGAGUACAUCGACGCGGUGGUGGACUCCGGGACGACCCGGCUGGUGGUGGAGGUGGACUUCCAGUCGGAGUUCGAGGUGGCGCGGCCCACCAAGGCGUACCGCGCAGCGCUGCAGGCGCUGCCCCCGCUCUUCGUUGGGACCCCUGACCGGCUCGGCCGGAUCGUCGCCGUCGUGGCCGAGACUGCGAGGCAGAGCCUCCGGAAGCGGGGCCUCCACUUCCCGCCGUGGCGCAAGCCCGAGUACAUGCGCGCCAAGUGGCUGUCCCCCCACGCCCGCAGCUGCCCCGGCAAGCCAACGCUGCCGGCACCGCCCACGCCGGUGUCCGCCGCCAGCUUCUCCGGCGAGUUCGAGCUGCGGUUCGACGACAAGGUGAAGGCACCUGACACAACCGGCGAGAAGGAGAAGCUCACGGUGGUCGUGUCGCCGUGGCGCCCGGUGGAGGCGGAGACGAGCAAGAGUAGUCCGCAGACCAAGGCGAAGGUGGUCACCGGGCUCGCCUCCGUGCUCUGAGCACGGCGUGGCGGAUCGAACAACACUCCAGCUCCAAGUGUUUUUAGCGGUUUUCCGGCUUUUUGGAAAAGAGAAAAACGGCCCCGUUUCCAUUCCCAUUUUCUGUUUCUUUUCUUUUUGCUCCUUUUUGGCUUCGGCAAAUUUUCCGGUUUCCAGUUUUUGAGUUCCUCGUCCUCCGUUGUUGAGGACGACAUGGAGAAGACUCUUGCCACUUGCCAGGUUCAUCCAAGCCUCGCCAUGAUCUGACCUGCUGGUUCUAGAACGACUGGAACUACUGUUAACGAGAGAUGUCUUGGCCUGCUGAUCAAGCCAUUAGAGGCUUGUAAUCUCAAUUUGAAGAGGGUGUAAAGAAAGUAAUUAGUAAUUACUCUA